UAUCAGGCACAGGCUUCUAUCAUGUUCAGU
rnacentral:piRNA from 1 species